GUUAGUUAGAGGCAAAGAGGAAUCCCUCUGCAUCGAGCACAAUAGUUGAACCAUAGAUGGUAUAGUUCUAUGGUUGAACACUACAGUCAACACCCAACAUUGCAGUUUAGGCACAACUUAUUGCAUCUUUGAGUGCCAUUCCUGUCAUCUAUUGAGUACAGAGUAGCCUACCCAGCCUUUCUCUGGGUUAGCCUACUGAAAUUUUUUCAAAGGUGCAUUUUUGAAAUAAACCCAGAUAACGGGCAGAAAUCAUGAAAAAGAGGAAGACUCAAGUGUGCCAAAAAGUGAUAUAACUAAUUACUGAACCGUCAAACUUUGAAUGGAUGAAGUAUGGUUGCAGCAAUAUACUGGUACCGUGAGAUGGUAUACAGUGGUUUAGAUGUCACAUUUCGGGUCAAGGUGCUUUAAAUUCCGUACCACGGUUCGGUUAACAUGGUACAGAUAUUUUAACUGUCCGUUUUCUUCCGAUGCUCAAUUAUCAUGCAGAAUACUCCCCUGUAGUUCAUGCGACAAGGAAAAGUGAUGGCUUUCUGCAUUGAAACUUGUUCCACUGAAAGUACAUUCCCCUACGCCGAACCACAAAUCCCGGACAUGCGAACAUUUUGAAUUAAAAACAGAUGGAAAAGCAGUGACUAAUAAUGUGACAGUGUGUCGCCAUUGUUUUGUUGACAUUUCUUACAGAACUGGAAACACGUCCAAGAAGAAAUACUGUGAUAUGUAUCGUUGCAAGCAGCACAUACAGUGUAGUGUGGAUAAAAUUGGGGAUAAGGGACCGAGCCAUGGUCCUUUUAUGAGUGGUACUUUGUAAAUGAGGCUUUAAACACACUGCAAGAAAUCUUUUUAAUGAAUCUUCUUAAUUAAACUUGAUCUUAUUUUAGUUUUGAUUAGAUGUCAGUUUACUUUGAUGGAAAUAUCUGUUAGUCAUCUAGUUUGUCCAUCCACAAUUUUGUACAUUUGUAAAAUCUUUGUAAUGAAUUUUCUUAAUUAAACUUGAUCUUCUUAUUGUACUUUUGAUAAGAUGUCCGUUUACUUUAAUGGAAAAAUCUGUUGGUCAUUUAGUUUGUCCAUUCACAAUUUGGUAUAUUUGUAAAAUUAUCCUCCGUUCAUUUUGUCUCUAAAUAUGCGGCUGCGUUGCAUAAACAUUAAAAAUGUGCAACUCUCAUCUAUACAUUUCAUUUUGGGACUGGUACAUUAACUUUGUCAGUAGUCGAGUUCCAUCUAAAUUUUUAUCAACAAGACUGAAUCAAUUUAUACCAUUCUCACUAAGGAAUUACAUACUUAGGCAGAGUUAUUGUGCAAAAUUUUAUACAUUUUCAAACAGAGAUUAAGCUAAUCAUUGAAACAAGCUGUACAUUCAAGGUAGUAUAAUAGGAAUUCUGCAUUGAUGCUGUUCUUGUUUUAAAGUCAUGAUACUUUUGGGGUUCAAUAAUUGUUAGAUUUUAAAUUGUUCAUUUAAACAUUUAGAAUGCAAGUUCGUUACUCUCAAAAAAUGUUCAUGAUUUCAUAAGAUCAUGUUUUACUGUUAUAAUUUACUGAUAAGGUGAUAGUUUUAUUUCAUGUUGUUGAUGUCUUAAAUAAUAGAUUUGAGAUAAAUAUUAUAAUACCUUGGUAAGAUUUUAGAAAAAGAUUUGAGGGUAAUACUAUAGUA